GGAGAGCCGAAGGAAUACUUAUUGAAGUAGUCACAACGACGACAUCACUAGCUAGGCCGCAUAUUCCAUCGCCAGAUCCGAACCAAGCGAAGUGAAGGAAGACGGGUGUCCUUUUCGUACACUGAGUGUGGUGGAUAAACCCCCGCCUUCACGCACUUCGUCGCGGGAGGACAAGGAGACUGCUGGUCCUAGCCUAGUUCAGUAUAGUAUAUGUUGUGAGCGUGCUUCAGAUCUCCGGAGAUAGCACAGUACGCUGUGUCCAGCCCAGAGGUGAAAGCCAUCCAAAGCAGAGUAACUGUGCUUUGUGCCCAAGUUGAUACCUGUGGAGAGAAAAGGAGAGAGAUUGAUACCUGUGGAGAGAAAAGGAGAGAGAGUGGGUAACACGAGGAGAGAUCGAGGAAACCUGUACUUACGCCGCUGCCUGUGGAGAAAGAGAAAGCGAGUGAGCACCCAAGGAACGAACUGUGUGAACCAGUACUUACUGUGAGCUGCAAUCAGCGAAGAGGUGAGAGCAAAACCAAGCCGAAUUAACUGUGCCUUUGUGUCCCAG
ensembl:lncRNA